rnacentral:sRNA from 1 species
AAAAGAGUGGAAGGAGGUGAGCGCGGCGAGGACCGAGGCGAAGGAGGGUCAGUGCGGAAACCCGGUGUGAGGGGCCGAGUGAGGAAGGUUCCUGCAGGGCGGGGACCGGGUUUCAGGAGGUCGCGGCCCUGCCUUUACCGGAGGGCGAGUCCCCGCCAAGCCCGGGCUUUGGAGAUGGACCGAAGAGGUGAGGGAGGACUUGGUAGAGAAAUAAACCGCGGAGCAAGAAGCACACAGUGCCGAAGACAGAAAGCCGGAGGAGAAGUGGAAACCGCCUCCUCAGCCUCUGGGGGAGCGCGGUGGGGGAAGAGUCACAGACUGACCCUGCGUCUCCCGCCAGCAACCAACUGCAGUGGUACACCCCACGGAAAGCUACGUCUCCUUACCGACGGCGCACGCCCCAACAGACUACAACUCCCAGAAGCCCCCGCCCGCGGUCCGGCGACUGCGUGGCAGCACGGGCCGCUUCCUUAUCCG